rnacentral:rRNA from 1 species
AGCGAACGCUGGCGGCAGGCUUAACACAUGCAAGUCGAACGAAGCCUUCGGGCUUAGUGGCGGACGGGUGAGUAACACGUGGGAACGUACCUUUUGGUUCGGGAUAACACAGGGAAACUUGUGCUAAUACCGAAUGUGCCCUUAGGGGGAAAGAUUUAUCGCCAUUAGAGCGGCCCGCGUUAGAUUAGCUAGUUGGUGGGGUAAAGGCCCACCAAGGCUACGAUCUAUAGCUGGUCUGAGAGGACGAUCAGCCACACUGGGACUGAGACACGGACCAGACUCCGACGGGAGGCAGCGGUGGGGGAUCGUGCGAAAUGGUCGAAAGACUGACGCAGCCGUGCCGCGUGAAUGAUGAAGGUCUUAGGAUUGUAAAAUUCUUUUACCAGGGACGAUAAUGACGGUACCUGGAGAAAAAGCUCCGGCUAACUUCGUGUCAGCCGCCGCGGUAA